AUUGAACGCUGGCGGAAUGCUUUACACAUGCAAGUCGAACGGUAGAGGGGGCAACCCCUCGAGAGUGGCGAACGGGUGAGUAAUAUAUCGGAACGUGCCCAGUCGUGGGGGAUAACGUAGCGAAAGUUACGCUAAUAACGCAUACGAACUAAGGCUGAAAGCGGGGGAUCGCAAGACCUCCCGCGAUUGGAGCGGCCGAUAUCAGAUUAGGUAGUGGGUGGGGUAAAGGUUCACCAAGCCACCGAGCUGUAGCUGGUCAGAGAGGACGACCAGACACACUGGAACUGAGACACGGUCAAGACUCCUACGGGAGGCAGCAGUGGGGAAUUUUGGACAAUGGACGCAAGUCUGAUCCAGCCAUUCCGCGUGCAGGAUGAAGGCCCUCGGGUUGUAAACUGUUUUUGUACGGAACGAAAAGGUCUCUCUUAAUACGGGGGACUCAUGACGGUACCGUAAGAAUAAGCACCGGCUAACUACGUGCCAGCCGCCGCCGUAAUAC
rnacentral:rRNA from 1 species